CAGCCGCCGCGGGAAUACGUAGGUGGCAAGCGUUGUCCGGAAUUAUUGGGCGUAAAGGGCUCGCAGGCGGUUUCUUAAGUCUGAUGUGAAAGCCCCCGGCUCAACCGGGGAGGGCCAUUGGAAACUGGGAAACUUGAGUGCAGAAGAGGAGAGUGGAAUUCCACGUGUAGCGGUGAAAUGCGUAGAGAUGUGGAGGAACACCAGUGGCGAAGGCGACUCUCUGGUCUGUAACUGACGCUGAGGAGCGAAAGCGUGGGGAGCGAACAGGAUUAGAUACCCCCGUAGUCCCUGUCUCUUAUAC
rnacentral:rRNA from 1 species